GCUGGCGUAGCUCAACCGGUAGAGCACCUGCCUUGUAAGCAGGGGGUUAGGGGUUCAAGUCCCCUCGUCAGCUCCG
rnacentral:tRNA from 1 species